ensembl:snoRNA
AGCCUCAUUCUAGAUGAGAAUGGGCAAUGUUGAUAAUAGUAUCCAAAAAUAGUUAAUGCGGCUUAACUGAGACAGGUUAUGCUUCCAGCACAGUAUGCAUAUUACAGUGGUGACAGUGAGACCUGUAACAUUU